GACGAACGCUGGCGGCGUGCUUAACACAUGCAAGUCGAGCGGUAAGGCCCUUUCGGGGGUACACGAGCGGCGAACGGGUGAGUAACACGUGGGUGACCUGCCCUCAGCUCUGGGAUAAGCCUGGGAACCCGGGUCUAAUACUGGAUAUGACUCCAUGACGCAUGUUGUGGGGUGGAAAGCCUCGUGCGGCUGAGGAUGGGCCCGCGGCCUAUCAGCUUGUUGGUGGGGUGANGGCCUACCAAGGCGACGACGGGUAGCCGGCCUGAGAGGGCGACCGGCCACACUGGGACUGAGACACGGCCCAGACUCCUACGGGAGGCAGCAGUGGGGAAUCUUGCGCAAUGGGCGAAAGCCUGACGCAGCGACGCCGCGUGAGGGAUGACGGCCU
rnacentral:rRNA from 1 species